rnacentral:misc_RNA from 1 species
GAUGAAGAACGUAGCGAAAUGCGAUAAGUAGUGUGAAUUGCAGAAUUCAGUGAAUCAUCGAAUCUUUGAACGCACAUUGCGCCCUUUGGUAUUCCAAAGGGCAUGCCUGUUCGAGCGUCAUUUGUACCCUCAAGCUUUGCUUGGUGUUGGGCGUCUUGUCUCUAGCUUUGCUGGAGACUCGCCUUAAAGUAAUUGGCAGCCGGCCUACUGGUUUCGGAGCGCAGCACAAGUCGCACUCUCUAUCAGCAAAGGUCUAGCAUCCAUUAAGCCUUUUUUUCAACUUUUGACCUCGGAUCAGGUAGGGAUACCCGCUGAACUUAAUCAUAUCAAUAAGCGGAGGA